AUGUAAAGACCUAAGUUUAAAUUGUAGAAUUCAUUUUACAAGAAAGAGGUCUUACAUGAAGAUAAAGAGUCUUGUCUGGUAGCCAAGGAUGACUUGCCUGCAGGCUCACCAAAGGGUUUCUAGUCCUUCUUUUGUUUUUUUUUUCCCUGACAAAAGGGUUUUUAGUCCUUUGUUUAAUCAUCCAGGUAGAGUUGGGUUGGGAUGGAUGAUAAGGUGAGAAAGAUUAUAAGUAAGAGAUAUUAUAUUUAAAACCUUUCGUUUAUCAAAAAAAAAAAAGGUCAAAAAAAGUCCUUUGCUUUAUUAUUAAACUUAUUUUUCAGUGUCAAGAUAGAGUUGCCUCCCCUCUCUAUUCAUCUUUUAAAAAAUAUUUAUGGAAUUUUUAAAAAGAUAUGAUAAGUAGUUAAAAAGAUAUGGAAAUUUUUCAACGUCAUAGUAUCCUAUAGGUCAAGUGGUUAAUCUCUCUCCUUUUCAAUCUUAAAUGAGGUGAUAGAAAUACUAAUGUGGCUACAAAUUACUUAUUAUUUUUGACCAUCUUUUUGAGAAAUUAUUCCAUGCAUGCGUCACAUCAUGAAAAAAGUAGUAGUAUAUCACAUGUUAUGUUUAGAUUAUUAGGAAUCUUUUCAAAGAUUGUGCAUGGAAUAUAGGGGUUCUAAGUCUAACAAUUAUUAGCUUGGUGUACGUGUGGGACUUUUUUUUUUUUUGGGUGUUUUUGUUAGGCAGUCCCCUUGGCUAUCCAGAGGGGCUCUUUUCUCUCAUGUUGGAUCUGCUCUUCUUCUUGAUGCUAGAUUUGUUAUUGAAACAUGUUAUUACAUGAUCAGAAGCAUAAUGGGCUAAUUUGAAAUAGCAUUAUUGUUCCAUCACGAGAUCAUAAGUAUAUAUUCUGAGCUUGUUACUAUAUUGUCUGUCGAGUUGUAAGGUUGUUAGAAUUGUAAAAUGAAUACUUUCAUUCCACCACUCUUAAGUUACUUGUAAUCAUAAAAGAAAUCAAGGGGAGAAAAGGGUUUGGGCACUUUUAUCUGCCAUCAUAUGUGGUGUUUUCCCACAUGCAAUUUACCUACAAGGCUUGUAGUACCUCAAUUCUCUCAAACAUGCUAUCAACUGCGGAGAAGAGAUAUUGUCAAUGCGGUGGGAGUGGCACGAUUUGUAGUCUUCCUAUGGGCAAUGAACAUCAUAUGAUUGAGCCAACUUCAAAAUCCCUUGGUUCAAUAGUUGUCCCCCGGCUAGUUUCAAGAAUUGAUGCUGCUGCUGCUGCUUCAAGGGGCCUUAGAUGCUACCAUGUUGCCGAGCCAUUCGAUCAAUCUGCAAAAAGAAACCUCAUGCGAGGUACUUUUCAGUUUGAAAAUGAGCACCCUUGUUCAUUUCAUACAGCUUAUCUCAUGAUAUAUAUGAUCAAGCAGUGCCAGGAGGAGAUGCUGCGAAAGUAGACUGACCGGCUGAUGAAGGAAUGACAGAUUUAGAUUAUUUGCACUAACAAAUACUAGUUAGUAGAUAACAGGUCUUGUAGAUAAUAAUGUGUUUAAGGCGAUCAUUUUAUUUGCAAUUUUGCAUUUCUAUUUGUAAAUUCUGAAAAAGUAGAAGCAUUUAAUACAUGUUGAUCUUCAAAAACA